rnacentral:rRNA from 1 species
UACGUAGGUGUCGAGCGUUGUCCGGAUUUAUUGGGCGUAAAGAGCACGUAGGCGGCUGUGUAAGUCGGUUGUGAAAGCCUUCCGCUUAACGGAAGAACGGCAUCCGAUACUGCAUAGCUCGAGUGCGGGAGGGGAGAGUGGAACUUCUGGUGGAGCGGUGAAAUGCGUAGAUAUCAGAAGGAACACCGGCGGCGAAGGCGACUCUCUGGCCCGUAACUGACGCUGAGUGUGCGAAAGCUAGGGGAGCAAA